GCAGCAGUAGGGAAUCUUCCACAAUGGGCGAAAGCCUGAUGGAGCAACGCCGCGUGGGUGAAGAAGGUCUUCGGAUCGUAAAACCCUGUUGUUAGAGAAGAAAGUGCGUGAGAGUAACUGUUCACGUUUCGACGGUAUCUAACCAGAAAGCCACGGCUAACUACGUGCCAGCAGCCGCGGUAAUACGUAGGUGGCAAGCGUUAUCCGGAUUUAUUGGGCGUAAAGGGAACGCAGGCGGUCUUUUAAGUCUGAUGUGAAAGCCUUCGGCUUAACCGGAGUAGUGCAUUGGAAACUGGGAGACUUGAGUGCAGAAGAGGAGAGUGGAACUCCAUGUGUAGCGGUGAAAUGCGUAGAUAUAUGGAAGAACACCAGUGGCGAAAGCGGCUCUCUGGUCUGUAACUGACGCUGAGGUUCGAAAGCGUGGGUAGCAAACAGGAUUAGAUACCCUGGUAGUCCACGCCGUAAACGAUGAAUGCUAAGUGUUGGAGGGUUUCCGCCCUUCA
rnacentral:rRNA from 1 species